rnacentral:lncRNA from 1 species
GCUCUGAGAGUCUGAGAUUUAAAGGCCCCUAGAAUGGAAACCUGAGGGCCAAGGGCUCCUGUCUGUCCUUUUCCAUCCUAUAUCUGCUGUGAAGAACCAUAGCUGGCCCGUAUGUGCUCAGUAACUGUUUGUUGAAUGAAGGCACCUUUCUAAAUCACAAGCUGGCAGAAGGGUGGGCCUUCCUGAGACUCCCUCUCUAGAGGUUUAUGUUACUGUCCUUUUGAGAGAAUCCAGAUUCAGACUUUGAGUUCUGUGGCUCUGGGCAAAAACCAACAAAGACCCAAAUCCUCUGUCCUUGGGAGCUUGAAGAGGGUUGACCAGUUCGUGUCGCCAUUGGGUCUGAGAAUGUUGCCUUUAAAAUCCAUUCCUGGUCCCUGCCUACCGCUUCCAGGUCUGGGGAAUAGAGUUGAGGGGGCCACUCUCAGUCACCUGAAUUUGACUCUCCCCACAGAAACAGCAGAAGAAACAAGUGGAACAUCAGCUGGAAGAAGCAAAGAAAGCAAACAAUGAAAUACACAAAGCACAAAUGGAGCAGUUAGAGACAAUCAACAUCCUCACAUUGGAAAAGGCAGACUUGAAGACCACCCUUUACCAUACUAAACGUGCUGCCCGACACUUCGAAGAAGAGUCCAAGGAUCUGGCUGGCCGCCUGCAAUACGCCUUACAGCGUAUUCAAGAAUUGGAGCGGGCUCUCUGUGCUGUGUGUACACAGCAGCAGGAAGAGGACAGGGUGAGUCCAACCAGCUGCCCCAUCCCCUGGCAGCCUGGCUUCCCAGAUGGAGGAGUGAGCCUAAAGGUCCCUUCUGCAGGAUGGAGUGUCCUGCCACGAAGGCAGCAUGGUCAUUUCUCACUGCUUUGUGUAUGG